CCUUAUUCAAUUCAGUCAGCACAAUCUAAGUCUAACCCCUUUCGUCCCGGGCCCCUCCUUCUACGGCCAUGAAUUGAAGCCCUUCCCUUCAGCUCUUCUUUUCUUCACUUCAGUUCAGUCUUUCUUCCCCUCCCUUCCCAUUCACAAUUCACAAACGUCAAAGUAGUGAAUUCUCCAUUGACAUUCACUCUCUUUUCUUACUUCUUUUCUUUCAAUCGUCUUUUUCAAUCUGCCGAAGUGUGGCCGCCGUUCAGCAAGUUGCGAGUGCGUGGUCAUUGAAAGAACCAUUCCCUAUCAAUUUCUCUUCCCCUCCCUGUCGAUCUACUGUGCCUAUGCUGAGUGCUGAGUGCUGAGUGCGUGGUGUGCCUAUACUAAAUGCUGAGUACGCGGUGUGGCUG
rnacentral:lncRNA from 1 species